UGGGGAAUAUUGCACAAUGGGCGCAAGCCUGAUGCAGCCAUGCCGCGUGUAUGAAGAAGGCCUUCGGGUUGUAAAGUACUUUCAGCGAGGAGGAAGGCGUUGUGGUUAAUAACCGCAACGAUUGACGUUACUCGCAGAAGAAGCACCGGCUAACUCCGUGCCAGCAGCCGCGGUAAUACGGAGGGUGCAAGCGUUAAUCGGAAUUACUGGGCGUAAAGCGCACGCAGGCGGUCUGUCAAGUCGGAUGUGAAAUCCCCGUGCUCAACCUGGGAACUGCAUCCGAAUCUGGCAGGCUAGAGUCUUGUAGAGGGGGGUAGAAUUCCAGGUGUAGCGGUGAAAUGCGUAGAGAUCUGGAGGAAUACCGGUGGCGAAGGCGGCCCCCUGGACAAAGACUGACGCUCAGGUGCGAAAGCGUGGGGAGCAAACA
rnacentral:rRNA from 1 species